AUCGAACGCUGGCGGCAUGCCUAACACAUGCAAGUCGAGCGGAGCGGCGGACGGGUGAGUACUGCCUAGGAAUCUGCCUGGUAGUGGGGUACAACGUCCGGAAAGGGGAGCUAAUACCGCAUACUAUCAGAUGAGUCUAGGUUGGAUUAGCUAGUUGGUCGGGUAAUGGCCUACCUAGGCGACGAUCCGUAACUGGUCUGAGAGGAUGAUCAGUCACAAGGGAACUGAGACACGGUCCAUACGCCUACGGUAGGCCGCAGUGGGGAAUAUUGGGCAAUGGGCGAAAGCCUGAUACAGCCAUGCCGCGUGUGUGAAGAAGGUCUUCGGAUUGUAAAGCACGUUAAGUUGGUAGGCGUUACCAACAGAAUAAGCACCGGCUAACUUCGUGCCAGCAGCCGCGGUAAUUC
rnacentral:rRNA from 1 species